rnacentral:misc_RNA from 1 species
GAAAUGCGAUAAGUAAUGUGAAUUGCAGAAUUCCGUGAAUCAUCGAAUCUUUGAACGCACAUUGCGCCCUCUGGUAUUCCGGGGGGCAUGCCUGUCCGAGCGUCAUUGCGAACCCCUCAAGCACGGCUUGUGUGAUGGGCCCUCCCGCGUCUUGGUCGUCAAGACGGGCCCGAAAUGCAGUGGCGGCUUCGCGGUUAUCCGAUCAGCCAGAGCGUAUGGGGACUUUCUCUCUGUCACACGCCCGCGGCGCGGACCGACGCCUGUCGACCUUCAUUCAUCGUUUUCUCGGUUGACCUCGGAUCAGUUAGGGAUACCCGCUGAACUUAAGC